ensembl:lncRNA
GCAUCUGAAACCUGUAUGAGAAUUUUCAAGAAACCCAUAGGAAUGGGAAUAUCACAUACAAAUUGAGCACAAUGAGAAACUUUUUAAUAGGGUCCAAGGGAGAACAAAAGAGGUAGAUCUCCACAGCCUCGGAAGAGUCAACAGCAGUGGAAAGAAGGCAAGUUUUUCCCAGAGUCCUCAUGUGGAGCACCUGUGCCCUUUCUUUCCAUCUGAUCUCCUAACACAGAGAAGCACAACCUCAGAGAAUACAGCUUGUCCCCCACGGACUUGUUCCUGGCCCCUGAAGUUGUCCUCAUAGGGGGUCCCUGGGCUCCAUCUGCAGCUAUUCUGCCAACCCCCUUCCUACAACCAAGCUCCCCAGGCACAAUCUUGGUCAGGAACAACUUAAGGAAAUUGAGCCUGGAAUUCAGUGUCUGCUUUAGUUCUGAUACUCAGGCUUGUUCCAUCCCUAUUCAUUGGUCUUAGAACUGCCUCCCUGCUGUAUUUCUUCUCCUUGUCUUGGUGAUUUAUCUCUUAAGGGUCCUUCAAGAACUAAAGCUCACCUCGUUACUAUUUUCAGCCUCCAGGCCUCUUUUGGACCUCAGAUGAAGGGCUGGGACUGUCAGUCCCUGACAGUUUCUGGAUUCUUCAGCAUUAUGCCCCAAAGCUGGCAGCCUUCUGGUUGGACUACAGCCAGAAAGAAAAACAGAUUUAGAGAGGUUGAGCAACUUAUCCAGCAUCUUGCAGUGAGCUCCCACGUGUGACCAAAGAUAACCAAGGAGAAGAUAUCUACUUCAAAAAUUUUACUUCAUCAAAAUCUUAACAGUAUAAACUCCCCAACCCUUAAUAACUACUACCACAAAAAGCCUGCCGUUUCUUUUUCUUACUAUUGCUAACUAUAUUAAUAUUUUACUUACCAAGUACUCAACUGUUCUAAAUAAGUGAACGUUUUAGAUAAUGUAAGCUUACCUGUUACAUGUCAAAACUUCAUCUAUUUACAUCAUGUUUGGUAAGAUGUUUCUAAAAGGGACUAUCUAUUUCCCAGUCUUAGAAUAUAUUUAGCAGAAUUUCUGAAUUAACACAUGGUAAGUUUUAGAAACAUGAGUUCUGAACAAAAAGAGUUUUUUAUUUAUAAUAACAGGAGUGGCUACAUGACGUGUAGGGCCCAGUGCAAAAUAAAAAUUCAGAGCUCUUGUUCA